CGGGUUUCGUUAGCAGCGGGCUGUUUUAAAAAAUUCAACAAGUUCGUUGUCGACGAAACCUGCA
rnacentral:pre_miRNA from 1 species